GCCAGACUCCUACGGGAGGCAGCAGUGGGGAAUAUUGGACAAUGGGGGGAACCCUGAUCCAGCGACGCCGCGUGAGUGAAGAAGUAUUUCGGCAUGUAAAGCCCUAUCGGCAGGGAAGAAGCAAGACGGUACCUGACUAAGAAGCCCCGGCUAACUACGUGCCAGCAGCCGCGGUAAUACGUAGGGGGCAAGCGUUAUCCGGAUUUACUGGGGGUAAAGGGGGCGCAGACGGCAGCGCAAGCCAGGAGUGAAAGCCCGGGGCCCAACCCCGGGACUGCUCUUGGAACUGCGCGGCUGGAGUGCAGGAGGGGCAGGCGGAAUUCCUGGUGUAGCGGUGAAAUGCGUAGAUAUCAGGAGGAACACCGGUGGCGAAGGCGGCCUGCUGGACUGCGACUGACGUUGAGGCCCGAAAGCGUGGGGAGCAAACAGGAUUAGAUACCCGCGUACUG
rnacentral:rRNA from 1 species